AUUGAACGCUGGCGGCAGGCCUAACACAUGCAAGUCGAGCGAGUGGCGGACGGGUGAGCAAUGUCUGGGCAACGGAGUGAUGGAUGGGGAUAACUAAUGGGAGCGGUAACUAAUACCGCAUACCAGCAGAUGUGUCGAGAUGGGUUUAGCUUGGUGGUGGGGUAACGGCUCACCACGGCGACGAUCCCUAGCUGGUGUGAGAGGAUGACCAGUCACACUGGAACUGAGACACGGUCCAGACUCCCACGGGAGGCAGCAGUGGGGAAUAUUGGACAAUGGGCGAAAGCCUGAUGCAGCCAUGCCGCGUGUGUGAAGAAGGUCUUCGGAUUGUAAAGUACUUUAAGUGGGGAGGCGUUACCCGCAGAAUAAGCACCGGCUAACUCCGUGCCAGCAGCCGCGGUAAUAC
rnacentral:rRNA from 1 species